GCAAGUCGAACGCGCAGCGAAAGGUGCUUGCACCUUUCAAGCGAGUGGCGAACGGGUGAGUAACACGUGGAUAACCUGCCUCAAGGCUGGGGAUAACAUUUGGAAACAGAUGCUAAUACCGAAUAAAACUUAGUAUCGCAUGAUACAAAGUUGAAAGGCGCUACGGCGUCACCUAGAGAUGGGUCCGCGGUGCAUUAGUUAGUUGGUGGGGUAAAGGCCUACCAAGACAAUGAUGCAUAGCCGAGUUGAGAGACUGAUCGGCCACAUUGGGACUGAGACACGGCCCAAACUCCUACGGGAGGCUGCAGUAGGGAAUCUUCCACAAUGGGCGAAAGCCUGAUGGAGCAACGCCGCGUGUGUGAUGAAGGCUUUAGGGUCGUAAAGCACUGUUGUAUGGGAAGAAAUGCUAGAAUAGGGAAUGAUUCUAGUUCGACGGUACCAUACCAGAAAGGGACGGCUAAAUACGUGCCAGCAGCCGCGGUAAUACGUAUGUCCCGAGCGUUAUCCGGAUUUAUUGGGCGUAAAGCGAGCGCAGACGGUUGAUUAAGUCUGAUGUGAAAGCCCGGAGCUCAACUCCGGAAUGGCAUUGGAAACUGGUUAACUUGAGUGUUGUAGAGGUAAGUGGAACUCCAUGUGUAGCGGUGGAAUGCGUAGAUAUAUGGAAGAAC
rnacentral:rRNA from 1 species